GCCCCCGUAGCUCAGUUGGAUAGAGCACCGGCCUCCGGAGCCGGGUGCAUGGGUUCGAAUCCCGUCGGGGGUACCA
rnacentral:tRNA from 1 species